GAACGCUGGCGGCAGGCCUAACACAUGCAAGUCGAACGGUAACAGGAAGAAGCUUGCUCUUGCUGACGAGUGGCGGACGGGUGAGUAAUGUCUGGGAAACUGCCUGAUGGAGGGGGAUAACUACUGGAAACGGUAGCUAAUACCGCAUAACGUCGCAAGACCAAAGAGGGGGACCUUCGGGCCUCUUGCCAUCGGAUGUGCCCAGAUGGGAUUAGCUAGUAGGUGGGGUAACGGCUCACCUAGGCGACGAUCCCUAGCUGGUCUGAGAGGAUGACCAGCCACACUGGAACUGAGACACGGUCCAGACUCCUACGGGAGGCAGCAGUGGGGAAUAUUGCACAAUGGGCGCAAGCCUGAUGCAGCCAUGCCGCCGUGUAUGAAGAAGGCCUUCGGGUUGUAAAGUACUUUCAGCGGGGAGGAAGGGAGUAAAGUUAAUACCUUUGCUCAUUGACGUUACCCGCAGAAGAAGCACCGGCUAACUCCGUGCCAGCAGCCGC
rnacentral:rRNA from 1 species